rnacentral:tRNA from 1 species
GGCAAGAUGGCCGAGUGGUCUAAGGCGCUGUGUUCAGGCUCCUUCUAAGGGAUACCUUGACAACAAAAUCGCAGUCUCCCUGAGGCGUGGGUUCGAAUCCCACUCUUGUCA